GGUGAUAGCUCAGUUGGUAGAGUGCUUGCUUCACAGGCACACAGCCCUGGGUUUGAUCCCCAGCACCA
rnacentral:tRNA from 1 species